rnacentral:misc_RNA from 1 species
GAUGAAGAACGUAGCAAAAUGCGAUAAGUAAUGUGAAUUGCAGAAUUCAGUGAAUCAUCGAAUCUUUGAACGCACAUUUCGCCCGCCAGUAUUCUGGCGGGCAUGCCUGUUCGAGCGUCAUUUCAACCCUCAAGCACAGCUUGGUGUUGGGACUCGCGUUAAUUCGCGUUCCUCAAAUUGAUUGGCGGUCACGUCGAGCUUCCAUAGCGUAGUAGUAAAACCCUCGUUACUGGUAAUCGUCGCGGCCACGCCGUUAAACCCCAACUUCUGAAUGUUGACCUCGGAUCAGGUAGGAAUACCCGCUGAACUUAAGCAUAUCAAUAAGCGGAGGA